AGCGCUGCAAUCCCAAAGUCGGUCACGACUGGACCUAAUGGUCAGGGGUCCCUUUACCUUUACCUUUAUUUUGUUUCCAAACAGUUUGGCUCCAUACUACCCAAGGGGAUUCUUGAUUAACAAAUGUAAGAGGAAGAUUUUAAUUUUGUUUUCUCUCUAUAAUUUCCUUUCCUUCUUUUUGCAGAACAUAUUUGGGAAGAAUAAGACUCCGUCCAGAGUCCCACCUGUGCCUCCCAAGCGACCAGAGAAACAGCUGCAGGGGGUUCCCAGUGAUACUCAAGAGGAGGAGGAAGACGAUCUGUAUACAUAUGAAGUGCCCCCAAGCAAAGGGCAGAGCAAGCAAAUGGUUCCAGCGCUUGCAGAGAACAUAUAUCUUGUUCCCUCUCAGGUUGUCUCUCUGCCCUCAGAUCGCCCGGCCUUGAGGCGCUUCUCUGAGCCACACAACCUCCUCCAGCCCAAGUCCCUUCCGUUCCUGUCCAAGCCUGGAGCAGAUGGUGACGACUCCAGUGACGGGACAUUCAACUUCCUGGCCAUAGAAAGAGCUCUACAAAAAGGGAUGAUGAAGCAGUCUGUGCCGCCGCCUCUUCCUCUCUCAGCCCGACGGGGGUCUCUGCCAGUCCUGGGUCCCUCUGGGUCCCAAGCGAAAGCUGUCGCCAGCAGAGAUCCUUUACCAGCCCUGAAAGAUGACGAGGAGGAGACCCAAGAGGAAUCGAUCUACGUGGAAUGUGAGCCCAGAGCAGCCUCCGUGCCCCGCAAAGUGCUUCCUUGUCCAACCCCAGUGCCUCCUGUCCAGCCUCUGAAGCAAGCCAGGCCAGCAAUCACUCCGUCAGGACCCCAGAAGGCCUUUGUGGAAAACCUGUGCAAAGGUGUGUCUCUGAAGAGUGGAUCUGUGCCAGAGGAUUUUUGCAUGCAAAACAAGGCCUGGUAUGCAGGGAGCUGUGACCGACAUACGGCUGAGGCUGCCCUCCUCCGGUUUAAUAAGGACAGUGCCUACCUGGUGAGGCAGAGCUCACGACACGGCUGGAACCAGCCAUUCACUUUGGCUGUGCUCUUCAAGAAGCACGUCUACAACAUCCCCAUCCGCUACUUAGAGAGCAGUCAUCAAUACACGCUUGGCAAGGAUGGCAGGAGCCACGAAGAGCUCUUUGACAGCGUUUCCGGCAUCAUCCAAAGCUACAGCGAGCGCCCCUUGGUGCUGGUUGAUGGCAGCACUUCUGCCAAGGAACAGACUUGCUUGCUGUUUCCAGUGAAGCCAUGACUUUGGGGCCUGGGGAGUAGGACCAGCUAUGGGGGAAGAUGGGACGUCCUCCCUGACCUCAGGCACAAACGGCUUCAUUUGCCUGGCUGGACCGACACAAGGCCAAAGGAUCAGCGUGGCACCCUGGCAUUCUGCAAAAGCCCGAACAAACCCCAGGCAGGGAUCUUGAUGCCAAAUCACCUGAUGCUGAACCAUCGUGUUGCCUUGGCAACGAGGGGAAGGCAGCUUGAGAAGGGACUUGGGCAGGGAAAGGUUUGGCCAGGGUGGAGGUGGGACUGGAUCAUCGCCUCAUUUGAGCUCCCCCUCCGCCUGCCACCUUCUGACUGCAUCCCGUGAUGACAUGGUUGUUGUUUAUUUCUGUGGGAGGGAAUACCCUAGAUCAGGCUUGUCCAGCUUCCAAGAGACUGUGAUCUAUUCUCACAAUUAAAAAACUGGUGGUGAUCUACCCACUGGAUUGACCCUAUACUCCCCAAAUAAGGGGCAACAAGGUGAGUUUGGUAGGUCAGUCUGGAUGAUGUCCUGAGUCCCUUCCAGCUCUUGGGAUCCUGUAUCUGUGGGGGUAGAAUGUGUAAGAGCAAGUUUUCCAGACCAGUUCCCUCUCUGGGCAAUGGCUUUGGCUGACUAGUUCAGCACCAUGAAGUUGCUCUGCACAAUAGAACAGAAGAGUGGGCCUCCCCACACCCCAGCCAGCUCACCUAGCAGCUAGGUAGGAGAACAAUGGCCACAGCUGUGUGUGAAUGAGCUGGAAGAGGCUGGAAGGUGGAGACACAGAGACAUGCCUGCUUUGUGCUGGAUCCAAAGCUGUGACUA